CCUACGGGCGGCAGCAGUGGGGAAUAUUGCACAAUGGGCGCAAGCCUGAUGCAGCCAUGCCGCGUGUGUGAAGAAGGCCUUCGGGUUGUAAAGCACUUUCAGCGGGGAGGAAGGCGGUGAGGUUAAUAACCUCAUCGAUUGACGUUACCCGCAGAAGAAGCACCGGCUAACUCCGUGCCAGCAGCCGCGGUAAUACAGAGGGUGCAAGCGUUAAUCGGAAUUACUGGGCGUAAAGCGCACGCAGGCGGUCUGUCAAGUCGGAUGUGAAAUCCCCGGGCUCAACCUGGGAACUGCAUUCGAAACUGGCAGGCUAGAGUCUUGUAGAGGGGGGUAGAAUUCCAGGUGUAGCGGUGAAAUGCGUAGAGAUCUGGAGGAAUACCGGUGGCGAAGGCGGCCCCCUGGACAAAGACUGACGCUCAGGUGCGAAAGCGUGGGGAGCAAACAGGAUUAGAUACCCUAGUAGUC
rnacentral:rRNA from 1 species